rnacentral:rRNA from 1 species
AAGUGCUAGUUGAAUAAGCUGGCACCUUGACGGUACCUAACCAGAAAGCCACGGCUAACUACGUGCCAGCAGCCGCGGUAAUACGUAGGUGGCAAGCGUUAUCCGGAAUUAUUGGGCGUAAAGCGCGCGCAGGUGGUUUCUUAAGUCUGAUGUGAAAGCCCACGGCUCAACCGUGGAGGGUCAUUGGAAACUGGGAGACUUGAGUGCAGAAGAGGAAAGUGGAAUUCCAUGUGUAGCGGUGAAAUGCGUAGAGAUAUGGAGGAACACCAGUGGCGAAGGCGACUUUCUGGUCUGUAACUGACACUGAGGCGCGAAAGCGUGGGGAGCAAACAGGAUUAGAUACCCUGGUAGUCCACGCCGUAAACGAUGAGUGCUAAGUG